GCUACCUUCGGGUGGAGCGGCGGACGGGUUAGUAACGCGUGGGAACAUACCCCUUUCUAUGGAAUAGCCUCGGGAAACUGAGAGUAAUACCAUAUACGCCCUUCGGGGGAAAGAUUUAUCGGUGAGGGAUUGGCCCGCGUAAGAUUAGAUAGUUGGUGGGGUAAUGGCCUACCAAGUCUACGAUCUUUAGCUGGUUUUAGAGGAUGAUCAGCAACACUGGGACUGAGACACGGCCCAGACUCCUACGGGAGGCAGCAGUGGGGAAUCUUAGACAAUGGGCGAAAGCCUGAUCUAGCCAUGCCGCGUGAGUGAUGAAGGUCUUAGGAUCGUAAAGCUCUUUCGCUAGGGAUGAUAAUGACAGUACCUAGUAAAGAAGCCCCGGCUAACUCCGUGCCAGCAGCCGCGGUAAUACGGAGGGGGCUAGCGUUGUUCGGAAUUACUGGGCGUAAAGCGUACGUAGGCGGAUCAGAAAGUAUGGGGCGAAAUCCCAGGGCUUAACCCUGGAACUGCCUCAUAAACUCCUGGUCUUGAGUUCGAGAGAGGUAAGUGGAAUUCCAAGUGUAGAGGUGAAAUUCGUAGAUAUUUGGAGGAACACCAGUGGCGAAGGCGGCUUACUGGCUCGAUACUGACGCUGAGGUACGAAAGUGUGGGGAGCAAACAGGAUUAGAUACCCUGGUAGUCCACACCGUAAACGAUGAAUG
rnacentral:rRNA from 1 species